rnacentral:rRNA from 1 species
AUUGAACGCUGGCGGCAGGCCUAACACAUGCAAGUCGAGCGGAUGAAGGGAGCUUGCUCCUGGAUUCAGCGGCGGAAGGGGGAGUAAUGCAUAGGAAUCUGCCUGGCAGUGGGGGAUAACGUCCGGAAACGGGCGCUAAUACCGCAGACGUCCUGAGGGAGAAAGUGGGGGAUCGUCGGACCUCACGCUAGCAGAUGAGCCUAGGUCGGAUUAGCUAGCUGGUGGGGUAAGGACCUACCAAGGCGGCGAUUCGUAACUGGUCUGAGAGGAUGGUCGGUCACACUGGAACUUGGACACGGUCCAGGCUCCUACGGGAGGCAGCAGUGGGGUAUGUUGGACAGUGGUCGGAAGCCUUGUCCAGCCGUGCCGCGUGUGUGGAGAAGGUCUUCGGAUUGUAAAGCACUUUAAGUUGGGGGGAAGCGCAGUAAGUUAAUACCUUGCUGUUUUGACGUUACCAACAGAAUAAGCACCGGCUAACUUCGUG